GUUUGAUCAUGGCUCAGGUNCGAACGCUGGCGGCGUGCCUAAUACAUGCAAGUCGAGCGAAUCUUGAGGAGCUUGCUCCUUAAGGUUAGCGGCGGACGGGUGAGUAACACGUGGGCAACCUGCCUGUAAGACUGGGAUAACACCGGGAAACCGGUGCUAAUACCGGAUAACUCUUCACCUCUCAUGAGGUGAAGCUGAAAGUCGGUUUCGGCUGACACUUACAGAUGGGCCCGCGGCGCAUUAGCUAGUUGGUGAGGUAACGGCUCACCAAGGCGACGAUGCGUAGCCGACCUGAGAGGGUGAUCGGCCACACUGGGACUGAGACACGGCCCAGACUCCUACGGGAGGCAGCAGUAGGGAAUCUUCCGCAAUGGACGAAAGUCUGACGGAGCAACGCCGCGUGAGUGAUGAAGGCCUUCGGGUCGUAAAACUCUGUUGUUAGGGAAGAACAAGUGCCGGAGUAACUGUCGGCACCUUGACGGUACCUAACCAGAAAGCCACGGCUAACUACGUGCCAGCAGCCGCGGUAAUACGUAGGUGGCAAGCGUUGUCCGGAAUUAUUGGGCGUAAAGCGCGCGCAGGCGGUCCUUUAAGUCUGAUGUGAAAGCCCACGGCUCAACCGUGGAGGGUCAUUGGAAACUGGGGGACUUGAGUGCAGAAGA
rnacentral:rRNA from 1 species